rnacentral:lncRNA from 10 species
UGGAAUAAACAGGGAUUCUCUUGCUAAGGAGGACAGGGAGAAUGGACACUGGAGCUGUCAGCUAGUGACAUUGCCACAUGUGGUGCAAAUCCCACACCAGGGCUUGCACCACUAGUGAGGACUUAGGUGCUUUGCCUCUGGGAUAGGCAGAGCUGCUGGGAAUGGGACUUCUCACCCAUGUAGCUGGGACUACAGGUGCAUGCCACCACUCCUGGCUAACUUUUGUGGAGAUGGGGUUUGGCUAUAUUGCCCAGGCUGAUUCCAA